rnacentral:rRNA from 1 species
AGAUUGAACGCUGGCGGCAUGCCUUACACAUGCAAGUCGAACGGUAGAGUAGCAAUACUUGAGAGUGGCGAACGGGUGAGUAAUAUAUCGGAACGUGCCCAGUCGUGGGGGGAUAACGUAGAGAAAUUUACGCUAAUACCGCAUACGAUCUAAGGAUGAAAGCGGGGGACUCGCAAGAGCCUCGCGCGAUUGGAGCGGCUGAUAUCGGAUUAGGUUGUUGGUGAGGUAAAAGCUCACCAAGCCGACGAUCUGUAGCUGGUUUGAGAGAACGACCAGCCACACUGGGACUGAGACACGGCCCAGACUCCUACGGGAGCAGCAGU